rnacentral:tRNA from 1 species
GGGGAUAUAGCUCAGUGGCACAAUGCCUGCCUGGCAAGCACGAGGUCAUGAGUUAGAUCCUCAGUACCCCCC